rnacentral:misc_RNA from 1 species
UGUUAAAAUUAUUUAAGGGAUAGAAAAUCUAAUGCUUAAUCAAAUGAUAAUGCACGCAAGGCUAACACUUUAAUAGAGUAAAAAGUUAUUACAGGAUGGCAAUGACGUCAUAGAUCACAAAAAAACUAACCAAGGCAGCUUGUUUUACCAAGUUCUAGCUAUAUUGACAAUUAUUAAACUGUUAGAAU